rnacentral:rRNA from 1 species
GUCGAGAAUCUUUCACAAUGGGGGCAACCCUGAUGGAGCGACGCCGCGUGGAGGAUAAGGUCUUCGGAUUGUAAACUCCUGUCAUGCGUGAACAAGGUUGCUUGGUUAAUACCUGGGCAAAUUGAUGGUAACGCAAGAGGAAGAGACGGCUAACUCUGUGCCAGCAGCCGCGGUAAUACAGAGGUCUCAAGCGUUGUUCGGAAUCACUGGGCGUAAAGGGUGCGUAGGUGGCGUGGUAAGUCAGAUGUGAAAGCCCGGGGCUCAACCUCGGAACUGCAUCCGAUACUGCCAUGCUAGAGUACUGGAGAGGUGACUAGAAUUCUCGGUGUAGCAGUGAAAUGCGUAGAUAUCGAGAGGAAUACCAAAGGCGUAGGCAGGUCACUGGACAGUUACUGACACUGAGGCACGAAGGCCAGGGGAGCGAACGGGUUUAGAAACCCUAGUAGUCC